rnacentral:lncRNA from 1 species
AUGUUUUCCAUGAGCCUCCCUCAGCAGUUCCAGCUGCCCCUGGUGCUCGGUAACACUUUCACUGCUGGGCACCAGCCUUCCCCUCCUGGCUGCCAAGUGGAGAAAGCAGCAGGAGCUCAACACCUUUAUCUCCAGGAGCAUCAGCAGCCUGCUGGAAACAUCUCCCUUUACAGCUCAGCUGAGGAGCAUCCAGUGGGAUCAGAGGAAAACACCAAACAACAUCCCCUUUUUGUCCACAAAAUGAAGGUAUUGUUUCCAAUGCUUUUUUCCCAGCAUGGAGCAAAUUCUCCUACGGCACAGAAAAAAUUUGCAGUGUCGGCUUUUCCAGGGACUCAAGGAUUCAACCAUCACAGCCUUAUUAAUCUUAUUAUUCCUGAUCUCUCACUCCCAUUUCCAUGGCGUCAAUACACUUUUCAGAGGCAGUCACAUCUUCCAAGGAGUUUAUCAGUGCCUAUCCAGAGCUGGAAAAAGGCAUUUGUUGUUCUGACUGAGCCUAACAUGGGAAUUAUCCCUCCAAUGCUUCCUUGGAGCGGCGAUUCCCGGUGAUGAAAGCUCCAGACCUGCUGGCUCCAAGGAGUUACUUUUUACUGUGUCAACUUUUCACAUGUCAUAAAAAGCAAGAAAUUGAAGUUAUCUGUGUAGCCCCAGGUCUCAGGGAGCAAAAGACUUCUAAAAGUAAGUGAUGUGAUUAGGAGAAAUAAGGAAAUGAAAUCAUUUAACGGGAAUGCGCCGCACGGAGAAGGAAUCAAUAAAUAGUUCCCAGGAGUUAUCA